AUAUAACUGACGAGUCCCUAAUAGGACGAAACACGCAUCCUAGAU
rfam:Schistosoma haematobium scaffold278_11, whole genome shotgun sequence.